rnacentral:tRNA from 1 species
GGGGCCGUUGUCUAGCAUGGUAUGAUACUCGGCUCGGGCCCGAGAGGCUCCGAAGCUAGACAGGAGCUCAAGGUCGUGGGUUCAAAAGCGGCGGAACCGCUGAAAUUCCCACCGGCCCCA